rnacentral:rRNA from 1 species
AUUGAACGCUGGCGGCAGGCCUAACACAUGCAAGUCGAACGAGUGGCGGACGGGUGAGUAAUAUAUGGGAAACUGCCUGAUGGCGGGGGAUAACUACUGGAAAGAGUAGCUAAUACCGCAUACCAUCGGAUGUGCCCAGAUGGGAUUAGCUAGUAGGUGGGGUAACGGCUCACCAAGGCGACGAUCCUUAGCUGGUCUGAGAGGAUGACCAGCCACACUGGAACUGCGACACGGCCCAGACUCCUACGGGAGGCAGCAGUGGGGAAUUUUGCACAAUGGGCGAAAGCCUGAUCCAGCCAUGCCGCGUGUAUGAUGAAGGCCUUCGGGUUGUAAAGUACUUUCAGCUGGGAAGCGGUAUCUGCAGAAUAAGCACCGGCUAACUCCGUGCCAGCAGCCGCGGUAAUUC